AAUAUUGGACAAUGGGGGCAACCCUGUUCCAGCCAUGCCGCGGGAGUGAAGAAGGCCCUCGGGUUGUAAAGCUCUUUUGUUGGGGAAGAAAAGCAUUCGGUUAAUACCCGGGUGUCCUGACGGUACCCAAAGAAUAAGCACCGGCUCACUUCCUGCCAGCAGCCGCGGUAAUACGAAGGGUGCAAGCGUUACUCGGAAUUACUGGGCGUAACGCGUGCGUAGGUGGUUGUUUAAGUCUGAUGUGAAAGCCCUGGGCUCAACCUGGGAAUGGCAUUGGAAACUGGGCAGCUAGAGUGCGGUAGAGGGUAGUGGAAUUCCCGGUGUAGCAGUGAAAUGCGUAGAGAUCGGGAGGAACAUCUGUGGCGAAGGCGACUGCCUGGACCAGCACUGACACUGAGGCACGAAAGCGUGGGGAGCAAACAGG
rnacentral:rRNA from 1 species